GUCUACAGCCAUACCAACCUGAACACACUGAUCUGAGCUUGGAAAUAAGCAGGGUCAGGCCUGGUUAGUACUUGGAUGGCAGAACUUCUUUCCUAUUGGGAAGGAGCUGUAGUUG
rnacentral:rRNA from 1 species